rnacentral:rRNA from 2 species
GCGGCAACAGCUCAAAUUUGAAAUCUGGCGCAAGCCCGAGUUGUAAUUUGUAGAGGAUGCUUCGAGGCAGCGGCCGUUCUAAGUUCCUUGGAACAGGACGUCAUAGAGGGUGAGAAUCCCGUAUGUGACCGGCCCGCACCUCAUACGUAGCUCCUUCGACGAGUCGAGUUGUUUGGGAAUGCAGCUCUAAAUGGGAGGUAAAUUUCUUCUAAAGCUAAAUACCGGCUGGAGACCGAUAGCGCACAAGUAGAGUGAUCGAAAGAUGAAAAGCACUUUGGAAAGAGAGUUAAAAAGCACGUGAAAUUGUUGAAAGGGAAGCGCCUACAACCAGACUUCGCGGCAGUGUUCCGCCGGUCUUCUGACCGGUUCAUUCUCUGUCGCGAGGCCAUCAUCGUCUGGGGCCGCCGGAUAAGACUGGAGGAAUGUAGCUCCCUUCGGGGUGUGUUAUAGCUUCCAGUGAUGCGGCGCGUCUCGGGCGAGGUCCGCGCUUCGGCAAGGAUGAUGGCGUAAUGGUUGUCGGCGGCCCGUCUUGAAACACGGACCAAGGAGUCUAACAUCUAUGCGAGUGUUCGGGUGUCAAACCCCUACGCGUAAUGAAAGUGAACGGAGGUGGGAACUUUUUGUGCACCAUCGACCGAUCCUGAUGUCCUCGGAUGGAUUUGAGUAAGAGCAUAGCUGUUGGGACCCGAAAGAUGGUGAACUAUGCCUGAAUAGGGUGAAGCCAGAGGAAACUCUGGUGG